UGCCAGCCGCCGCGGUAAUACGAAGGGGGCGAGCGUUGUUCGGAAUCACUGGGCUUAAAGCGUACGUAGGCGGAUUUGCAAGCCAGAAGUGAAAUCCCGGGGCUCAACCCCGGAACUGCUUUUGGAACUGCAAGUCUAGUGUCCCGGAGAGGUUGGCGGAAUUCCGAGUGUAGAGGUGAAAUUCGCAGAUAUUCGGAGGAACACCAGUGGCGUAGGCGGCCAACUGGACGGGUACAGACGCUGAGGUACGAAAGCGUGGGGAGCAAACAGGAUUAGAUA
rnacentral:rRNA from 1 species